GUCCCUUCCCUUCUGACAGAUUGCAGAGCACGCUAGGGACGGGGGAAGCAGACAUACAGAUCCCAGUCCACGGACAAGACGGGGCGGGAAGCAGGAAGUCCCAGUUCCCGGGUCUACAGAGACCACGGAGGGUCGCGCGGCGCAGAAGAAACGAAAGUGAAAGCUGUCGGUCUUCAGCAUUGCUGGGGAAGGGGCAAGCCCCGCCAUCGCCAUCACCCGCGGGGGACAGCGGCCCCCUGCAGCCGCCCCUGGGGGUGAGCAGUACCCCGCCCCGAGCACCAUGGCGGGCAGUUCCCCCCACUUGCCCCUGAGGGCGGGGCAAUCCCCUCUGGCCGGGGCAGCCGGCUCCCCUGUCAACCCCUCACCUUCAGAGCCGCGUCCGGGUCCGGGUACAGAAUCAUUAAAUAAGCGCAAGGAACAAGGCCGACUCCGACUUUUUUGCUGCCCCAAGUGGCAAGAAAAAAAAAAACGAUUGUGCUACCGCCAAAGUGCUACCGAGGAAGACAGGGAGCGAAGGACCCACUGCCGAAUUACCGCAGAAAGCUUACAUGGACCGAUUGAGCUGCCGCCGAAGUGACAAUGACGACCUGCACGUGCCGUCCCAACAACAGAUAAAGAGGAGAGGCUGUGAUAAGAAUUCAGCUGUCAGCAUAACUAGGAAAGAGGACCAUUCUAUUAUGUUAAGAGAUUCCAAAGACUUUGGAGGUUUGCCUAUAGAGGGACACCGAAGAAAACUAAGGCAACUCAACUGAAGUUCCUGAUGCUGGUUUUCAAUAUCUCUGUCAUCUCACUGAUAGAAGCAUGGAUGUGAAGCAGAUCAACAGAGUUCAUGUGUCUGUGUUAGAGACAGGCAGAAUUUCUGUAUUUGCUGUACUUCACCAACUACCACAGCACCUGGUCCUGCCGCAGUGAAGAAACGGAGGAAGAGAAUAUGAUGCAGACAGUGAAUGAGGGUUGCCAUCUGCUUCAGGCAUUCAUUGACCAGCUCCCACAGUGUUUCUGGGCCUGUGAAAUGAGCACCAAGUGAUGGGGGAUCUGUGCGUGGAGCUUGCCCCACCCUCUAGCACUGAAACACCAAAAUGAGAGGUGCUUUGACAGUGGUGAAACAAGUGGCAAUAGUACUGUGGAAGCCUACAAUCCCAGAUUUCUAUUAGUCAGUGGACAAUUAGUUUGGUGUUGGAUAAUCUAUAGUGCAGGUGGUCAUCAUCCCGGAGUGCAAGGCAAUUAAGCCUAUCCUGCUGCACAAGAUUGUGACACUGGCAGGAACUAGUUGAUGGAUUCAAUGAAAUGGGUUUGUGUCACUGUGAUGGGGUGACAGGUGGGAUGAAUAUCCCCUCCUGUCCCCUCCCCAUCUUGCUUCUAGUACAUAAAAUGAACAGGGGUCUUUUCUAUGGUUAUGCAAACAUUGGUGGAUCAGUGACAG